CACUCUGACAGGCAUAUGAAACUCUUCCGCCUUGGAGGCCGCUAGACGGGCCACAGAGACAAAAAAAGUUAGGGAGUAAUGCAUCCCGUUGCCUAGAUAGAGCACUUCUGGGUCUUCGCCAUUAAAAUCCGAAAAGAGAGUUUGCUGAGGGGCGGGGGGAUAGGGAGCAUCAAGGGAAUUUUCCAAUAUGGUUUUUUUACUUAUUUUUUUAUGCUUUGUUGUUGUCUUUCUGGGUAUGAUUUGCAAGUAUUUUCUUUUCUUUUUUAGAUGAAUGUCGAUUUUUGCCUGUGUAUUGUUUGUUUCCAGGUGUGAUAUUUUUGGGGGGAGGGAGGCAGGGAGUGUUUCUGAGCAUCAUUCAUUUUUUCUGUGCGUGAAAUAAUAGGUAUUUUAUGGUGCCCGCCCACCCCAGUUUCUCAGAUUUCCAAAUGUGCUCCCAGGCCCUGAAAAAAAGUUAAGAGACUCUAUUUUAUAAUUCUGUAAACUACCCGGAUGGCUUUUUGUUGAAGGUGGCAUGGAAAUUUUGUAAAUAAACAACCAAACAUUUGUUGCAAACUUACAAUGCCUCGCCCCUGGGUAUUCGUGACAAGGAAAGAAGCAGCAGAUCCCAAACCAAGGCAAGCCGGCUCACAGAUGACUAGUCAGCAUGGGAAAGAAAGCUGGCAGGAAUCUCUGUGUGCUUUGGUGCUCCAGUAGUGCUCACAAAAAUGGUAUUUAUCAGUGGAAGUAUUGUAGCAUCAUCUCUUGCGGCCAAGAUGAUGUCACUGUCAGCCUUAACCAUUGCCAGCCUCAGCUAUUGCCAGCGGUGGUGGAGACCCAACAGGUGGUAUGGUGCUGAUAGUCUAAUCUGUUGAUGCAGUAGGAGUUUGAAUGGCUAUGAAAUAUAUUAUGAUAGUGGGGCAGCCAUUGGACUCUCUAAGAAGCAGGCCCCUUGUGACACUUAAGAUUUCUUGAUGAGGCCCUGUUCCAAAUUCCAUUUUAUGGGUGUUCCAUUAUCUUACUUUUUUAUCUUAAAGCAUUUCUAAACUGCUUAGUAUUUUGAAAUAUAUAAGCUGUAUACAAAAAUACAAUGUAAAGCCAAUAAAACUUUAGGGAAGUU